rnacentral:rRNA from 1 species
AGAGUUUGAUCCUGGCUCAGGAUGAACGCUGGCGGCGUGCUUAAUACAUGCAAGUCGAACGAGGGCACUCACGUAGCAAUACGAGGGUGUUCCUAGUGGCGAACGGGUGCGUAACACGUAGGCGACCUGCCCCGAAGCGUGGGACAACACUGCGAAAGCGGUGCUAAUACCGCAUGAUCUCCCCGAGGCCAGAGUCUCGGUGAGCAAAGGCGCAAGCCGCUUUGGGAGGGGCCUGCGGCCCAUCAGCUAGUUGGUAGGGUAACGGCCUACCAAGGCAGCGACGGGGUAGGGGGCCUGAGAGGGUGGCCCCCCACACUGGCACUGAAAUACGGGCCAGACACCUACGGGUGGCAGCAGUAGGGAAUAUUGGACAAUGGGCGAAAGCCUGAUCCAGCAACGCCGCGUGCGCGAUGAAGGCCUUCGGGUUGUAAAGCGCUUUUCGGGGGGAUGAGGAAGGACCGUACCCCCGGAAUAAGUCUCGGCUAACUACGUGCCAGCAGCCGCGGUAAAACGUAGGAGGCAAGCGUUAUCCGGAUUUACUGGGCGUAAAGCGCGUGCAGGCGGUCGGGUAAGUCGGACGUGAAAGCUCCUGGCUCAACUGGGAGAGGCCGUUCGAUACUACUUGACUAGAGGGCAGAAGAGGGAGGUGGAAUUCCGGGUGUAGCGGUGAAAUGCGUAGAUAUCCGGAGGAACACCAGUGGCGAAGGCGGCCUCCUGGUCUGCCCCUGACGCUCAGACGCGAAAGCUAGGGGAGCGAACGGGAUUAGAAACCCCGGUAGUCCUAGCUGUAAACGAUGAACACUAGGUGUAGUGGGUAUCGACCCCCACUGUGCCGCAGCUAACGCAAUAAGUGUUCCGCCUGGGGACUACGGCCGCAAGGUUAAAACUCAAAGGAAUUGACGG